CGCGAAGGAUACCAAGGGCACACGGUGGAUGCCUUGGCACAGGAAGCCGACGAAGGACGCGACAAGCCGCGAUAGUCCACGGCCAGGGGCACAUGCCCGCACGAGCCGUGGGUCUCCGAAUGGGAGAACCCGCCGGGACUUGAGGCCCGGCGCCCGCCCGCAGAACACAUACGCGGGCGGGGGGCAACCGGGGGAACUGAAACAUCUAAGUACCCCGAGGAAGAGAAAUCAAACGAGAUUCCCCGAGUAGUGGCGAGCGAAAGGGGACCAGGCCAAACCGGCGCGCUGGCGACAGCCGCCGGGGUUGUGGGACCACCCAACAUGGCAGUCAGAAAGGCGCGAGGCAGCGGAACGGCCUGGGAGGGCCGGCGAGACAGGGUCACAGCCCCGUACGCGAAGCCCCGCGCCCUGCCGGGUGGCACCCGAGUACCGCCGGACACGUGAAACCCGGUGGGAAGCAGGGGGGACCACCCUCCAAGCCUGAACACUCUCCUGUGACCGAUAGUGGACCAGUACCGUGAGGGAAAGGUGAAAAGCACCCCGGGAGGGGAGUGAAACAGCACCUGAAACCGCGUGCCCACAAGCAGUCGGAGCAGCCCUCGUGGCUGUGACGGCGUGCCUUUUGUAGAAUGAGCCAGCGAGUUGCGGUGCGCGGCGAGGCCAAGCCGCGAAGCGAGCCGUAGCGAGAGCGAGUCCGAACAGGGCGAGCAGUCGCGCGCCGCAGACGCGAAGCCGGGUGAGCUAUCCACGGGCAGGCUGAAGCGGGGGUAAGACCCCGUGGAGGGCCGAACCCACCUAGGUUGAAAACUGGGGGGAUGACCCGCGGAUAGGGGUGAAAGGCCUAUCAAACCCGGAGAUAUCUCGUUCUCCCCGAAAUAGCUUUAGGGCUAGCCUCGGGCGCUUACCCUGGGGGGUAGAGCACCGGAUGGCCGCGGGGGCCUCACCGCCUACCAAAGCCAACCGAACUCCGAAUACCCAGGGCCCGGAGCCCGGGAGUCAGAACAUGUGGGCUAAGCUGUGUGUUCGAGAGGGAAACAGCCCAGACCGCCCGCCAAGGCCCCCAAGUCCGUGCCGAGUGGCAAAGGAUGUGCGUCUGCCCAGACAACCAGGAUGUUGGCUCAGAAGCAGCCACCCAUUCAAAGAGUGCGUAACAGCUCACUGGUCGAGUGGACAUGCGCCGACAAUAUACGGGGCUAAGCACGGCGCCGAAGCGGCGGACCGGACCCAGUCCGGUGGUAGGGGAGCUUCCCGUCAGGGGCGAAGCCGGGGGACGACCCCCGGUGGACCUGCCGGGAGUGAGGAUGCUGGCAUGAGUAGCGAGAGCGGCGUGACGAAACGCCGCCGCCGUGAACCCAAGGUUUCCUGGGCAAGGCUAAUCCUCCCAGGGUCAGUCGGGGGCUAAGGCGAGGCCGGAAGGCGUAGCCGACGCAUGGCAGGUCGACAUUCCUGCACCCCCGUGGUGGCGCUACGACCGAUGGGGCGACGGAGGAGGGUAGCUCGGCGGGGUUCUGGACGUCCCCGUGAUGGCGCGUAGGGCGGCACCUUGCGAAGCGC
rnacentral:rRNA from 1 species